rnacentral:lncRNA from 1 species
AAUUGCUUUGAUAUUCCUGUUUGGCCCCCAGUCAUGCUCAUGAAGUACAAUGAGGUGUCCUCAUCUGACUAUUUCGCUAAUGGGUAAGCCUCACUGCCAAUCUUUCAGGUAGUAGUAGUACAGUGUCGCUAUCAUCUCUGUUUGUAUAUAAGUAUGCCACUGUUGAGGUUUAGCAAUCUCUGUUAUGGUGUUGAUCUGAAUGAUGCUUUUCUGUAUGUGAUAGCGAACUGGCUACCCUCGUGUAGUUGAGCAAUUAGUAUCCAUACAUGCCCAGUGCAUGCCUAAAUCCUGAGUUUUAUUUUUAAACACCUCUCCAUAUAUGUGGAGUGCCUAUUGUAAUUGUCAAGUGUGAAUUCUGUAUAUGAGGUGUGUUCUCCUUGUAGUAAUUUCUAGUAGCCUGCUUGUUAUGUGUAGAGUGCACAACACAUUACAUGUAUUGAGGAUGAAAUGGUCAGAGUAUGGCAUUUUCAAUUGAACUUACUUUUUUGGUGCUGAGCUGUCGAUAAAUUGGUGUUGGUACCAUGAUGCUUGAACUGUUAUUUUCUUUUGGUAAAUGAACUACUGCUUUGGUGCAUAGAUGUAUCUUCAUGAGUCACAACACUCCUGACAUGUAGGCGACUGGAGCGCACCAGAAGCAUUGACGGUGACUCAGUCCUCGGCGCCGCCCUCUGCUAGAGCGGUGCGUCCCCUCUCUAUUCUCCCAGCCACCCCUAAGUUUUGGAUUUGGAUCGUUUCUGUGAACUCUAGUCAUGCUCACUUGUAAAUCUGUUUUGAUGUUUAAACCGUGACUUAUGAUAAUCUGGUUUCACCGCCUUCCAGGGACAACAUAUAUACGCUCAAUACACUCUACUUGUUUUCCUGUAUAGUUUUCUUACUUGUUUUCCUUUAUGCGUUCACUCUUUUUCAGGAGCUCCAAGCCUAAUUUUUUUCCUUUAUGUUCACUCUUUUACAGGAGCUCCAGUCCUAAUUUUUCUGAGUGUGAAGCCAUGAAGCCAAGUGCGAAGCAGUGAAUGCUGGAGAGAGAUGAUGCUGGAGAGAUGCCCUUCCUGUAGGUUUGCACAUAAGCGGAAGUUCCUGGGUAUGCAAGAUUUGAUGGUUAAACUGGUUGAUGUGAUGUGAAUGAGUGUAUGGAAACUGGUUGUUGUGAUGUGAAUGAGUGUAUGUAGUUUCACAUGUUCUGUUUUGUAUAGCAUAUUGUAAUAAACUUAUUUUAGCUAUUAUUUGAAGAUUUUCAUAUGCUUUCUCUCUUCUGUCUGUUUGAAAUAUACAUAUAUAUUGCUUAUUAAUAAGCUGUGAAAAAUCUGACAUUUGGG